GAUUGUAGUCUGCAACUCGACUACAUGAAGCUGGAAUCGCUAGUAAUCGCAGAUCAGAAUGUCGCGGUGAAUACGUUCCCGGGUCUUGUACACACCGCCCGUCACACCAUGGGAGCUGGUAACACCCGAAGUCAGUAGUCUAACCGCAAGGAGGACGCUGCCGAAGGUGGGAUUAGCGACUGGGGUGAAGUCGUAACAAGGUACC
rnacentral:rRNA from 1 species